GAGAGAAAGACAAGAAUGAUGCUCAGUUUCCUGACUUAGGAUACUUGGCUUCUGGUGCUGCCUUUCACCUACAAUGGAGUACAGGAGAGGGAGCAGGUAUGAUGGAGGUGUGGGGUGUGUUGUUUUAUACAUACCAUCUGAUCUCUGUGCUCUCCUUGGGUCACUGAAACUGGCAUGAGGAUGCCCCCAACCUUUUCUUUCCUUUUUCUUUAUUCAGAGGGCUACUCCAAGAAGCCCUCACCCUCUACAGAUCUCCAGACAAGAACUAGACAGUAGUCUCCAUGGAUAUAGAAAAUCCCUCACCCUAGGACACACUCAUCAAGGUCUCCUAAAUAUGCUCAGCUAACUUUCCACCCACAGCUACACGUUUGGUUGCCCAGCUAGUAUCCAGCCUGGGAUCAAGAAACCAGUUUCCCCUUCUUGCAGGAUCUCCAGUCUUGGUGAACGAUUCCCUCAGAGACCCACUCCUACUCCACCACAAAUCACAUCCCCUUCCGCAGGCCUCUCCUUAUUUAGAGUCCUUUCAUUGGUCAAUAAUCUGGCCCAAGUUCUUUACACGGCAACUGGCUUCUAGAAAGAUGGUAAUUAAAUUUUCUAGCCUUGGAAAUUUCACAAGAUCACUUCCAUUGCAUUCUGCUAAUAAGCCAAGUCACAUAACCAGCCCAGAGUCAACAUCCCAAGUCUGGAUGGGAAGAAUGAGAAAGGAUUGUGGCCAUCUUUAAACUGCCAAACUCUGGUAAAAUCAAUUUACAUUUUUGCUUUUUGAACAACAUGCUGCUUCCUUACAUGUACCUUUGGACAUAGGAUUACUUCUAUCUGGACUGGCCUUUUCCUUUCCCCUUCUAUUAUCUUUAUUAGUUUACUAAUAAUUUUAUUAUUAUUAUUUCCUUUCCCCUUCCAUUAUCUUUAUUAGUUUACUAAUUUUACUCAUUAAAUUACUUUGCAAGUUUUUUUAUACCUCCACAGUGAUCAGUCUGUGGAUAUCGGCAAUGAUCUUGGGCAUGCCAGCUCUCUUUAGUCUAGAGCAAUUUAUGGAGAUGGUUGGCAGCCUUGGCAGCUGGAGGAGUUAGCAUGUUAAUUUUGAAGGGGCAUCUGGAUGAUACAGCACAGUGUCCAUUGCAUUCUACUGUCCCCCCGCUCCCCCCGCAUUUUCUCUCUCUGUGUUGAUAAUGUGUUUUUUGUUUUGUUUUUUGAGACAGGGUCUUACUCUGUCACCCAGGCUGGAGUGCAGUGGUGCAAUCAUAGCUCACUGCAGCCUUGAACUCUUAGGCUCACGUGAUCCUCCCACCUCAGCUUCCUGAGCAGCUGGGACCACAGGUAUGUGCCACCACACUUGUCGUUUUGUAGAGAUAAUCGUUGCAUUUUUUUUAUACAGACGGGGACCUCCCUAUGUUGCCUAGGCUGAUCCGAACUCAAGAACUCAAGUGAUCCACCCACCUCAGCCUCCCAAAGUGCUGGGAUUACAGGUUUGAGCCACCGCGCCCAGCUGAUAAUCUGUUCUUGACAAGCCUCACUGGGGGCACUGUUGCUUCUGAACUCCACCCAGCAGCUGGAACAACUACUCUUGUUUCCAUUCCUCCCUGUGUUUUCAAAUAUUUACUAUACCUUAACUCACUGCUUUAAUUCGUCACAUAUAGUCUCUUACCCAUCCAGUUAUCACUUGUUGUGUCUUCUCGAAACUUAACCUGUUCUCAGUGACCAUCACUUGUCAACAGCCCCCAGAACUUGAGCUCUGGCUCUCUGUGAAUGCCAGCUUUUGUUCUCUGGCCUUACCCUUCUAGUUUCCCUCCAGUUUAGUGGGCUUGUCUAAUUUCAUGGCCGUCCCUGUUUGAGUCAGUGAACCUACAUAUGAUCAUAUUCACAGGAUCACAAAUAAUCACAAAAAUAUAAUCACAAUAAUAUUCACUAAUAUUCACAAAAAUGCAAAUAAAACAAUUAUGAGAUUUUUUUUCAUGUGUAAGAUUAUCCGAGAUUUAAAAGGCUGACAAAAAUCUCUGAAAAAAUGGCACUACUCUAUUUUCUUAUCCCGUUGGUGCAGUUAAAUUGACAUGACCUUUCUGGAGAAGAGUUUUUCGACAUGUUUAUCAUCAUGUGAAUUACCCAGCAAUUGAAUUUCCAGUCAUUUAUACUGACAAGGUAUUCUCACAGGUAUGAAAAGACUUAUAAAAAAGGAUAUUCAUUGCAAUAUAAUAGGAAAAUUGGGAAGAUAAACUGUGUCCAUCAAUUAAUAAGUAAAAUAGGGUAUAAAGAUAUAAUUCUAUGGGAACAUUAAGAUGAGGAAUAGAUUUAUAUUUAUCUACAUGAAAAUAUGUUUAUGAUAUUGCUAAAUGAAAAAAUCAAGUUAUAGAAAAUCAUGUAUUCUAUGAUCCCAUUUGUAUGAAAUUAUAAACAUGCAUUUAUAAGUAUAUAUUUAUGC
rnacentral:lncRNA from 1 species